CAAAGACAUUAAAAUACAACAAUGUUCGCCAGGACACUACAAGCAUAAGCUCGAAAUCCAAAGGACCUGACGGUGCCUUAGAUCCCCCUAGAGGAGCCUGUUCUAGAACCGAUUAUCCCCGUUAAACCUCACCAUUUCUAGUAGUAUCAGCCUAUAUACCACCGUCGCCAGCUUACCCUGUGAAGUAAAACAGUAAGCGAAAUGGGCACAACCCAAUAAGUCAGGUCGAGGUGUAGCAUAUGAAUGGGAGAAUGGGCUACAUUU
rnacentral:rRNA from 1 species